GCCUCGUGCAGCUGGGACUGCGAGAGCAGGUGCACAUGCGAGUCGAUGGCGCCGGCGGUGAGGAUCUUGCCCUCGCCGGAGAUCACGUCGGUCGACGGCCCGAUCACCAGAUCCGGGUGCACACCGUCGGCCACGUCGGGGUUUCCGGCCCGGCCCAGCGCGACGAUCCGGCCGUCGCGGAUUCCGACGUCGGCGAUCUCGAUGCCCCACCAGUCCAGGAGGAUCGCGUUGGUGAUCACGGUGUCCAGCGCGCCCUGCGCGCGGGUGACGGCGGACUGGGCCAUGGAUUCGCGGAU
rnacentral:sRNA from 1 species